rnacentral:rRNA from 1 species
UGGCGGACGGGUGAGUAAUACAUAAGUAACCUGCCCUAGACAGGGGGAUAACUAUUGGAAACGAUAGCUAAGACCGCAUAGGUACGGACACUGCAUGGUGACCGUAUUAAAAGUGCCUCAAAGCACUGGUAGAGGAUGGACUUAUGGCGCAUUAGCUGGUUGGCGGGGUAACGGCCCACCAAGGCGACGAUGCGUAGCCGACCUGAGAGGGUGACCGGCCACACUGGGACUGAGACACGGCCCAGACUCCUACGGGAGGCAGCAGUAGGGAAUUUUCGGCAAUGGGGGAAACCCUGACCGAGCAACGCCGCGUGAAGGAAGAAGGUUUUCGGAUUGUAAACUUCUGUUAUAAAGGAAGAACGGCGGCUACAGGAAAUGGUAGCCGAGUGACGGUACUUUAUUAGAAAGCCACGGCUAACUACGUGCCAGCAGCCGCGGUAAU